rnacentral:rRNA from 1 species
GAUGAACGCUGGCGGCGUGCCUAAUACAUGCAAGUCGAGCGAACAGACGAGGAGCUUGCUCCUCUGACGUUAGCGGCGGACGGGUGAGUAACACGUGGAUAACCUACCUAUAAGACUGGGAUAACUUCGGGAAACCGGAGCUAAUACCGGAUAAUAUAUCGAACCGCAUGGUUCAAUAGUGAAAGACGGUUUUGCUGUCACUUAUAGAUGGAUCCGCGCCGCAUUAGCUAGUUGGUAAGGUAACGGCUUACCAAGGCGACGAUGCGUAGCCGACCUGAGAGGGUGAUCGGCCACACUGGAACUGAGACACGGUCCAGACUCCUACGGGAGGCAGCAGUAGGGAAUCUUCCGCAAUGGGCGAAAGCCUGACGGAGCAACGCCGCGUGAGUGAUGAAGGUCUUCGGAUCGUAAAACUCUGUUAUUAGGGAAGAACAAAUGUGUAAGUAACUAUGCACGUCUUGACGGUACCUAAUCAGAAAGCCACGGCUAGCUACGUG